rnacentral:misc_RNA from 1 species
GAAAUGCGAUACUUGGUGUGAAUUGCAGAAUCCCGUGAAUCAUCGAAUCUUUGAACGCAUAUUGCGGUCGAGGCUUCGGCCGAGACCAUGUCUGCCUCAGCGUCGGUGUGAACCCUCACCCCCCCUCACGGGCGGAGUGGACCUGGCCUCCCCGACCCCCCGCGGUCGGGCUGGCUGAAAUUCGGAGGCUCCCGCUCGGGCCCGUAUGGCAGCAGCAAGGUAGGUAGUGAACUCUACUCCGGCUGGAUGCUUUGGGCGCGCGGCACGAGCCCGCAGGAAAGCUUCUCACCCUUUCGACCUGAGAUCAGGCAAGGCUACCCGCUGAACUUAA